CAAGUUUUUAGCCAAAAUGUCAAAAUCUCAAAUAUAUUAUUGUUUUAUUUUAGGCAUUAUUUUGUUUUCCCUAAUAGAAUUAUCUGUAAAUGUUGACGAAAAGAAAGAAAAUAAUCGGAAAAGAACUUAUGCUGAAAUAAUUCGAAAAAAUAAUCAAGGUCAAUUAAAAAUGUUUUGUGAAAAAAUAAAGUCUGACUGUUACGAUAAAACAUUGUAUUCAUGAUAAACAAUGUUUGAAUAAAACUAAAGAG